GGCGGUGAUGGCGGAUGGGCAUGGUUCAUGGUUCAUGGUUCCUCUGCGCUAGGCUCUGAUCUCGCGACAGCCACAAGCCCACGGACAGGUGCAUGCCACAGGUACAGACCACAGACUGUAUGCUACAAACACAACGGUGCAGGCCAAUGAUCGGAAGAUCAGGUAUCAUCUUAUUGUCAUCGCCACAUUCCCUGCAAUGAACAAAAGGCAUUUGGGAGUGGAGCCCUCAUGGUAAUGCCGGCCCCCUGUAGAGUUCAGUUCUACACUCCGUGCAAAUGAUUUUCGACUAAUAUCUUUAAGUUUUACCCUAUAUGACCAGCAGGAGGUGUAUUUUACUUAUUCUCUUAGUCUCACAGCACAGGGGUUAGCCCAGAGAGUACUCCUAUGAAGUGCUGCAGAGCUUUUUUGUGGUGGCUACUCGCCUUGCAAACAUGACACUACAGAGGGUCAGGACAAAAGCACCUCCCUUCAGAAUGCUGCACUCAUCAUUUUAGCCAAGUUGUUGUUGACCUGACGCCAACGCCACAAAACAGGACAAGUAAUUUAAUUUGGUACUGCUGUCGACCUUGAGGAGGAGAAUGUAGGCUACCAGAAUCCCAAUAGGGAGGCUAGAAGAUAACGUUCUGGGAGCUGUAAGGAGGGCCAUGCUGUUCCUCUGGUAACAUCACACACAGUCUAGACUCCUCUAUAGGAACACUUUUGACCUUCAUGUGUCAUUUCUCUUCUCAAUUUUGUAUCCUGUGUUUACUUGGUUCAGUUAACGAUGCAAUUAAUACAAUCUUUUAUUUCAAGUAAUGCACUGUUAUGGCACAACAUAAAAAGGCAUAUGUUAUAUACUUAAUAGCAAUACAAGAAACAGUGAAGCCAUAUGACAGACAGUAAAUUAGAGAUACUUGUUCGAUGCUACAGGGAAAUUGCAUACGUGUUUAUUACAUGCAUGUUUAUUAUUAUUUACUUCUCCUUUUAAAGAUUGUUAAUUAUAUUUCACUCUUGCACUGAUUUUGGACUCCUUAACUCACUGUUCAUCCUAGGACUAGACAAACUGACUAAUAUCCAGCUGUGUUGUAUAACAUGAUAUUAUAGAGAGUGUAGUUGUUCAGCAAUGACAUCAUAAAUCUCUCCGAAAAUAUCUUGGAUCCGAAUUCAAUAUUGGUAAUAAAAUCUAUAUAUAAGACCUUGGUGACUAAACGGUUUUGCAGAAAGCAGCUGUAUGGUUUAACAAGCACUCGUCACACAUUAUUUUUAAAAAUAUCUUAUAAUAAUAAAUCAGUAUGUUUAUUUUCUACAUUUUGUCAUUUUAAAAAAUAAAAUAAUACAUUGUAGAUGAUUUUUCAAGAUGGUAAGCUAUUUUUCCACCAUUGUAAGGUAUGAAAAUUACUAUUAAUGUAUUUAUAUUUGUAUAUUAACUUUUAUAAAUUUAACAAUGUUUCCAGUAGUUUGUGCCUUUACUCCCCAGUCUGCCAGUGUUUAAAUGGAGACCAGUUUUCCAGCCAUUUGGCACAGUGUUUAAUGAUAUAGCUUAUAGCCACAUUCCCAUCCACCAACCUCCAUAAUGACUCACUAAUGAUAGGCUACAUUUGUUUUUCUUUUCCUCUCUUCUGUUUUGUCAUCCUAUAGGCCAGUGCCUCUUUCCCUGUAGAUCUCCCUUUCCAAGUAAGACCAUGGCAGCAGUUAGCUCUAGCUUCUGGAGAAACUAUUUGUUGACUUUUCCGCACAAACUGGUACUCUGUAGGGGAGCAGGCUGUUAUUUAUGGCUCAGAUCCUUACGUGAUUGGUUGAGAAGAGAUAUAAUUAUGUCUUGU